GACGAACGCUGGCGGCGUGCUUAACACAUGCAAGUCGAACGGAAAGGCCCUUCGGGGUACUCGAGUGGCGAACGGGUGAGUAACACGUGGGUGAUCUGCCCUGCACUUUGGGAUAAGCCUGGGAAACUGGGUCUAAUACCGAAUAGGACCACGCGCUUCAUGGUGUGUGGUGGAAAGCUUUUGCGGUGUGGGAUGGGCCCGCGGCCUAUCAGCUUGUUGGUGGGGUAAGGGCCUACCAAGGCGACGACGGGUAGCCGGCCUGAGAGGGUGACCGGCCACACUGGGACUGAGAUACGGCCCAGACUCCUACGGGAGGCAGCAGUGGGGAAUAUUGCACAAUGGGCGCAAGCCUGAUGCAGCGACGCCGCGUGAGGGAUGACGGCCUUCGGGUUGUAAACCUCUUUCACCAGGGACGAAGCGUAAGUGACGGUACCUGGAGAAGAAGCACCGGCCAACUACGU
rnacentral:rRNA from 1 species